CUCCUCUGAGGGAUCAGGAGUAAGAUAAACUCGUCUCAAGUGCUCAAAUAGCUGCAAGAUUUGCGCGCUUCACAUUAUAAAUAAGGUUACCCUGGGGAUGUAGCUAUGUACCAUGACCCAGCAGCUCUUUGGCUUGUCUGAUUCUUGUCAGAAGGUCUGAUGUCCAGACUCUGUGCUCUUCCAUGUAUGGUCCAGUGGAACUCUCCUUGACCAUUAUAUAGACUUCAAACACACCCAGCAGUUACUGCGACCACACCUCACAACUACCUCACCUUGACCCUUGACCCCUUAGCUUUAAACCCUCACCCCUGACCCAUACUCUUUACCUCUAACCCCUCACUCCUCCUAAUCCUUAACCUUACUCCCCCUCUCCUCUCCUCUCCU